rnacentral:rRNA from 1 species
AUGACCACGAGAAGACUGCUUGAACUACUUAAUAUGGAUCUUUUCAGUCCCAACGCCUACAAGAGUCUCGAUGGUAACUCGUUCGGUUUGGUCAUUGUUGAUGGCUUUUCAAGAUUUACGUGGGUGUUCUUUCCUGAUGGUAAAUCACAGGUCCAAAAGAUCUUCAAGAACUUCGCUAGGAAGGCCAAAAACCAAUUUGAAGUGAAGAUCAAGAAGGUUCGAAGCGACAACGGAACGGAGUUCAAGAACGCCAAUGUGGAUACCUUUCUUAACGAAGAAGGGAUUGCACAUGAGUUCUCGGCUACGUACACACCUCAACAAAAUGGAGUUGUUGAGAGGAAGAACUGGGCACUUAUUGAGAUGGCAAGAAUGAUGCUUGAUGAAUACAAGACGCCAAAACGUUUUUGGGCGGAAAUAGUUGAGACAGCUUGUCAUGCUACGAAUAGACUAUAUCUUCACAAGCUUCUCGGCAAGACGGCAUACGAACUUCUCACCGGUUUCCUACUCGGCUAUGGCUCAAACUCUCACACUUACCGUGUCUACAACAAUUUCACCCGAAAGGUUGAGAGACGGUAG